GGAUUUCCUCUGGAUUCUCUCAAGGAUGUUGUUGAGGGAUGGGUGUGUAGAUUACAUGUGAUAAAUAUGCUCCACCAUUCCUGUUUCCCUAGGCACUGGAAUCUUUUCCUCAACAUUAUAAUAUGGAAAGUUCUGGUAUCUCAACCUCAUUAAAUAGACCCUGCUGUUGUGCCCAACUGUCAGUAAACCAACGUAUUAAAUUGUUAGAAUGCUUCCACCUGCAUGAGCCAACACAUUAAAUCCAGAACCUCAGGAAAACUGCAAACUGCAUUCAACUACUGCUAAGGGAAGAACUUGCACUUCUGGGACGAAGAAUCAUUGCUAGACUGAGGCUACCAGGAAGCACAUGGGAAAAAGCAUUUCUUUUCUUCUCCUCCAGCUACCCAGCAUCCCUCUAGUGCCACGUAUGGAAGAGUUUACGUAGAGCCAGCCAGCAAAGCAGAAAUGUGUUUUGCAAAAUACAAGCAUCAGCUUCACAAAGUAGAAUAUAGAAGGGUAGGUUUGCAGCUGAGAGACAAUUAAUAUGUGGCACACCCAUUUUAGUAAACAUAUCGCCAUAUGCCAAGUUGCCACCUUAGAAGUCUAGUAGUCAUUCUCAGAACCUGUCUCUUCUAACUUGCCAUAUAUAAGCUGCUAAAUAUCUCUCAAGUCUGAAUCCACUACCAUAGCCAUCAUUAUCAAGAUGUCUGCAAUGACAUCCUAACUAGUCUUCAGGAUAGAUGACUCUUCCUCUCCAAUUCAUUCUGUAAAAAUGCAGAUCUGGGCCAGGCACGUGGCUCGCACCUGUAAUCCUAGCACUUUGGGAGGCCAAGGCUGGCGGAUCACAAGGUCGGCCGUUUGAGACCAGCCUGGCCAACAUGCUGAAACCCCAUCUAUACUAAAGACACUAAAAUUAGCUGGGCAUGGUGGCAGAUGCUUAUAAUCCCAGCUACUUUGGAGGCUGAGGCAGGGGAAUCACUUGAACUCCAGAGGUGGAGGUUGCAGUGAGCCGAGAUCACACCACUGCACUCCAGCCUAAGCAACAGGGUGAGACUCCAUCUCAAAAAAAAAA
rnacentral:lncRNA from 1 species